rnacentral:rRNA from 1 species
AUGCACGCUGGCGGCGUGCCUCAUCCCUGCAAGUCGCGCGAACAGACGAGGAGCUUGCUCCUCUGACGUUAGCGGCGGACGGGUGAGUAACACGUGGAUAACCUACCUAUAAGACUGGGAUAACUUCGGGAAGCCGGAGCUAAUACCGGAUAAUAUAUUGAACCGCAUGGUUCAAUAGUGAAAGACGGUUUUGCUGUCACUUAUAGAUGGAUCCGCGCCGCACUAGCUAGUUGGUAAGGUAACGGCUUACCAAGGCAACGAUGCGUAGCCGACCUGAGAGGGUGAUCGGCCACACUGGAACUGAGACACGGUCCAGACUCCUACGGGAGGCAGCAGUAGGGAAUCUUCCGCAAUGGGCGAAAGCCUGACGGAGCAACGCCGCGUGAGUGAUGAAGGUCUUCGGAUCGUAAAACUCUGUUAUUAGGGAAGAACAAAUGUGUAAGUAACUAUGCACGUCUUGACGGUACCUAAUCAGAAAGCCACGGCUAACUACGUG